rnacentral:lncRNA from 1 species
AAAAGAGAACACUCGUUUACACCAAGAAGUCGAUCACCUUCGAGUCGACGUUACUCGGUGGGCCCAAGAAAAGGAUGACUUAGGGAAGCAGAUGGAAGAUCUAAAGGAACGGUCGACUCAAAGAGAGACUGGCCUUUUGAAGACUAUAGAUGACUUGAAAGGGAAAAAGGUUGAGUUGUUGAAGAGAGUGGAUGCCCUUCUAGGGAU